UCCGGCUUAUCACCGGCGGUUUCUUUAGAGUGCCCAACUAAAUGAUGGCAACUAAAGACGAGGGUUGCGCUCGUUGCGGGACUUAACCCAACAUCUCACGGCACGAGCUGACGACAGCCAUGCAGCACCUGAACCGGCAGUCCCCGAAGGGAAAAUCCUAUCUCUAGGACAGUCCGCCGUUGUCUAGCCCAGGUAAGGUUCUUCGCGUUGCGUCGAAUUGAACCACAUGCUCCACCGCUUGUGCGGGCCCCCGUCAAUUCCUUUGAGUUUUAGCCUUGCGGCCGUACUCCCUAGGCGGGGAACUUAAUGCGUUAGCUGCGGCACCGACGACGUGGAAUGUCGCCAACACCUAGUUCCCACCGUUUACGGCGUGGACUAC
rnacentral:misc_RNA from 1 species